UCAUAAUCUGGAAAUGUUUAAAGUAAUAUAAGGCAUGCUGUAAAAUGUGGAAUGGACUUUAAUAUCAGUUUUCAUGAUUUGGUGCUUAAACUGUUUCUUUUAGUCAGAUUAACCAUAAACAGAGUUGGCAAUCCAAUAAUUCCUCCUGAAUCACCAUGUUUGACUUCUGUGUUGAUUUGAAACAUCAUAUAUUUGGGUUUUGUUCACUCCUUAAGUAAAAAUGGUAAGAUGAAAAAAAAGUGAAAAUCUGCCAGAUGGGGUAGGGAUGUAAUGUUUCAUUUUUUUUUGGUAAGAAAUGAGUGCAGACUAGUAUUCUUUAUUGUAAUAUGUUCCAAAGUAAGAAGUCUAUGCAUCAUAGGUGUCAUGACUGGUUUCAAGUUUGUUAUGUCUUGGUUAAGGUGGCACGGUAGUAUUUGCAUUCCAGAAUUUAGGUUGCUCUUUUGUGUACCCUACUUAGGU
rnacentral:lncRNA from 1 species